GUCCUAACCCCAGUAGUUUCUAUUGGGUAUGGCAUCAAAUCCUAGUGAAUAUUAACGGGCUUCUGCUCGGUCCUAUUCACUAGGUCUAUGCUCGAAAGGGUGUAGGAUAUUCGCAAGAAUAUC
rnacentral:sRNA from 1 species